CCUGGAGCCUCCAAACCCAUGGGGUCACAGCUGCGGGUGGUGAGCCCAUAAAUAGGGGAGUGGGGGGACCUUCCCAGCCCCUUGGCUGCUCUGCACCACCUCCACCACUCUCAGCUCUCCUGGCCAGCAUGCCUCCCGAAGGGAAGCCCAGCGUGGAGCAAAGACACCCGCUCAGCUCCAUCCUCAUCCCAGGCUGUGCGAGGGAUGCCUGGCGAAAAGAAAAGCAUGAAUCAGCCUUUCUAGGAGCACGCGGCGUGACGAGCUCCCGGCGGCUCCCCCGUGGGUUUGCCUCGCAGCCCUGCUGCGGGUGGGAUCUUUAUGGGGCUGAUUUCUUUGGGCAUCGCUGGCGAGGCACAGCCACGGCUCCGGCGUCCUCGCCGGGGGA